rnacentral:lncRNA from 1 species
CUGGUUAAAGGUAAAGUUUUAAAUGUUUUAUGGAAAUGUUUAUUCAUGUUUGGGGAUUAUACCGACUGUACAGGAUGCUUAGUAGGCUUGCUACGGGUCCCAGCGGCCUUAUGCCGAUCUGGAUCCUAGCGCCGGUAGCGGUCCGGUUUCCGGGCUGUUACACUUACAUGCCAUAUAUGUCUUAUCCUCAUUAUUAUCCACCAUAUCCUAUGUAUCCACCUUCCCCUACCCAUCCAAGUGCAGCACACCCAGAGCUAAAUGAACCAG